AACGAACGCUGGCGGCAUGCCUAACACAUGCAAGUCGAACGAAACCUUCGGGUCUAGUGGCGCAGGGCUGCGUAACGCGUGGGAACCUGCCCUUAGGUUAGGAAUACCUCCCCGAAAGGGGUCCUAAUACCGGUUAAUCUCUUCGGGCCAAAGAUUUAUCGCCUUUGGAUGGGCCCGGGUUGGAUUCGCCAGUUGGUAGGGUACAAGCCUGUCAAGGCGACGAUGCAUAGCUGGUCGGAGAGGAUGACCAGGAACGCUGGGAGUGAGACACGGCCCAGACUCCUACGCAAGGGUGCAGAAUGUAAUACAAUACAAGGGGCGAUAGUCUAGUCCAGCAGCGCCGGGGAAGUGAGGAAGGCCUUAGGGUUGUAAAGCUGUUUUAGACGAGAUGAUAAUGACAGUACCGGGUGAAGAAGCACCGGCUAACUACGUG
rnacentral:rRNA from 1 species